GCUGUCCCCAACCCCACAGUGUCUCCUUGGUGUCCCCAACCCCAUGGUGUCCCCUCGGUGUCCCCAACCUCUAUGCUGUCCCCAACCCCACGGUGUCCCCAGACCGCACUCUGCCCCCUCGGUGCCCUCAACCCCCCGCCUUCCCCAACCUCAACGGUGUCCCCAACCCCCACAACGUCCCCAACCCCGCUGUGUCCAAUGUCACCGUUGUCCCCAAAUGCUCACGGCCAGCGCCCCGCUGUCAUCCAUGCGCCGGAUGUCCUCGCAACCCCACAGGGCCCCACGGGGGACAUAGAGGGUGUGACCCCCCCUCAGCGCCGCCCCUCGCAGCCUCUGCUCCGUCUCGGGGUCGGCCAGCGCCGUGGGGGACCCCAGCUGGGGACGUGGGGACAACCAUGUCCCCAACAUCCGGGUCUGAUGGCCCCAAUGGCCCCCAAUAUCUCAAAGACAGCGGCCCCAGAUUCGUCGGGACAACCAUGUCCCCAAAGUCACCAACAUCCCAACCCCAAUCUCCCCAAAGUCUCCAAAGUCCCCAGCAUCCCCACCCCAAUGUCCCCAAUGUCCCCAAUGUCCCCAGUGUCCCCAACUCCCCGUUGUCCCCAAUGUCCCCAAUGUCCCCAACCCAUCUCCAAUGUCCCCAACAGCCCGUCGUCCCCAAUGUCNNNNNNNNNNNNNNNNNNNNNNNNNNNNNNNNNNNNNNNNNNNNNNNNNNNNNNNNNNNNNNNNNNNNNNNNNNNNNNNNCAUUGUCCCCAAUGUCCCCAACCCAUCCCCAAUGUCCCCAACACCCCAUUGUCCCCAAUGUCCCCAAUGUCCCCAACCCUCCCCAUGUCCCCAAUGUCCCCAACACCCCAUUGUCCCCAGUGUCCCCAAUGUCCCCAAACCUCCCCUGUGUCCCCAACACCCCAUUGUCCCCAAUGUCCCCAACCCUCCAAUGUCCCCAACCCAUCUCCUGUGUCCCCAACACCCCAUUGUCCCCAAUGUCCCCAACCCUCCAAUGUCCCCAACCCAUCUCCAGUGUCCCCAACCCUCCCCAAUGUCCCCAUUGUCCCCGAUGUCCCCACGUCCCCCCUCCCCCGUGUCCCCAUGUCCCUGUCCACCCCAACCCCUGGCUGACAACGCGGUGACACGAUGGUGACAACACGGUGACAACUCCGGGACACGGCGGUGACACCGGGAUGCGGUGAGAAGAGGAGGUGACAAGUUGGGGACAACGUGGAGGUGUGAUGGUGGCAACGCGGUGACGCCAGGAGAGCGUGGGGACAAGUUGGGGACAGCUCUGAGACAAGAUGGCGGCAACGUGGUGACAAGAUGGGGACAACUUGGUGACAAGAUGGGGACAGUUUUGAGAUAAGAUGGUGACAAGAUGGCGGCAACAUGGUGACAAGUUGGGGACAAUUUUGAGACAAGAUGGCGGCAACAUGGUGACAAGAUGGGAUGAUGUGGUGACAAGUUGGGGACAACGUGGUGACACGAUGGUGACAAGUUGGGGACAACUUUGAGACAAGAUGGCGGCAACGUGGUGACAAGUUGGGGACAACGUGGUGACAAAUUGGGGGCAACUUUGAGACAAGAUGGCGGCAAGAUGGUGACAAUGUGGUGACAACAUGGUGACAAAUUGGGGACAAAGUGGUGACAAAUUGGGGACAGCUUGGAGACAAGAUGGCGGUAACACGGUGACAAGAUGGGGACAAGUUGGGGACAGAGUGGUGACAAGUUGGGGACAACCUUGAGACAAGAUGGUGGCAGCAUGGUGGCAAGAUGGGGACAAUGUGGUGACAAGUUGGGGACAAAUGGAUGGCAAGAUGGGGACAAUGUGGUGGCAACACGGUGACAAGUUGGGGACAGUUUUGAGACAAGAUGGGGACAACAUGGUGGCAAGUUGGGGACAACUUUGAGAUAAGAUGGGGACAAGUUGGGGACAACAUGGUGACAAACUGGGGACAAAUUGGAGACAAGAUGGCGGUAACACGGUGACAAGAUGGGGACAAGUUGGGGACAGAGUGGUGACAAGUUGGGGACAGAGUGGUGACAGUUUGGGGACAACGUGGUGACAAGACGGUGGCAAUGUGGUGACAACUUGGUGACACGAUGGUGACAAGUUGGGGACAACUUUGAGACAAGAUG
rnacentral:lncRNA from 1 species